AUACGGAGGGUGCGAGCGUUAAUCGGAAUUACUGGGCGUAAAGCGCGCGUAGGCGGUUUGCUCAGUCGGAUGUGAAAGCCCAGGGCUCAACCUUGGAACUGCAUACGAUACUGGCAAACUAGAGUGUGAGAGAGGAUAGUGGAAUUUCCGGUGUAGCGGUGAAAUGCGUAGAUAUCGGAAGGAACAUCAGUGGCGAAGGCGACUGUCUGGCUCAACACUGACGCUGAGGUGCGAAAGCGUGGGUAGCAAACAGGAUUAGAAACCCUAGUAGUCC
rnacentral:rRNA from 1 species